GGCCGUGUGGUGUAGUGGUAGCAUACUUGCUUUGGGCUUCUGUUUCAGAGUAUGCAAGUGGUCCCAGGUUCGAGCCCUGGCUCGGCCC